rnacentral:rRNA from 1 species
UACGUAGGUGGCAAGCGAUACUCGGAAUCACUAGGCGUAAAGCGCAGGUAGGCGGUUUGGUAAGUCUCUUGUGAAAGCUCCCGGCUCAACUGGGAGAGGCCAAGGGAAACUACCGGACUAGAGUGUGGUAGGGGGUACUGGAAUUCCUGGUGUAGCGGUGAAAUGCGUAGAUAUCAGGAGGAAUACCUAUGGCGAAAGCAGGUAUCUGGGCCAUCACUGACGCUGAGCUGCGAAAGCUAGGGGAGCAAACAGG